CCCUUAGAUGUUCUGGGCCGCACGCGCGCUACACUGAUGCAUUCAACGAGUUUCUUCCUGGUCCGAGAGGAAUGGGUAACCUUUUGAAAGUGCAUCGUGAUAGGGAUAGACUAUUGCAAUUAUUGGUCUUCAACGAGGAAUUCCUAGUAGACGUAGUUCAUCAGACUGCAUCGAUUACGUCCCUGCCCUUUGUACACACCGCCCGUCGCACCUACCGAUUGAAUGGUCCGGUGAAAUCUUAGGACUGCGACUUUGUCUCGUUCAUUCAAGACGCUGUCGCGGGAAUUUGAUUAAACCUUACCAUUUAGAGGAAGGUGAAGUCGUAACA
rnacentral:rRNA from 1 species